rnacentral:rRNA from 1 species
AUUGAACGCUGGCGGCAGGCCUAACACAUGCAAGUCGAACGAGUGGCGGACGGGUGAGUAAUGUCUGGGAAACUGCCUGAUGGAGGGGGAUAACUACUGGCAACGGUAUCUAAUACCGCAUAUCAUCGGAUGUGCCCAGAUGGGAUUAGCUAGUAGGUGGGGUAAAGGCUCACCUAGGCGACGAUCCCUAGCUAGUCUGAGAGGAUGACCAGCCACACGGGAACUGAGAGACGGUCCGGACUCCUACGAGAGGCAGCAGGGGGGAAUAUUGCAGAAUGGGCGCAAGCCUGAUGCAGCCAUGCCGCGUGUAUGAAGAAGGCCUUCGGGUUGUAAAGUACGUUCAGCGGGGAGGCGGUACCCGAAGAGGAAGCACCGGCUAGCUCCGUGCCAGCCGCCGCGGUAAUGC